CAGGUGGUACCUCGGAAGGACACCUUUCGGUAUUUGGGGUCAAUGUUGCAGGAGGAUGGGGGUAUUGAUGAAGAUGUGAACCAUCGAAUCAAAGCCGGAUGGAUGAAGUGGCGCCAAGCUUCUGGCAUUCUCUGUGACAAGAGAGUGCCACAAAAGCUAAAAGGCAAGUUCUACAGGACGGCGGUUCAACCCGCAAUGUUGUAUAGCGCGGAGUGUUGGCCGACUAAAAGGAAACAUGUUCAAGAGUUAGGUGUGGCGGAGAUGCGUAUGUUGAGAUGGAUGUGUGGCCACACGAGGAAGGAUCGAGUCCGGAAUGAUGAUAUACGGGAUAGAGUUGGGGUAGCACCAAUUGAGGAGAAGCUUGUCCAACAUCGUCUGAGAUGGUUUGGGCAUAUUCAGCGCAGGCCUCCAGAAGCUCCAGUGCAUAGCGGACGACUAAAGCAUGCGGAGAAUGUCAAGAGAGGGCAGGGUAGACCG
rnacentral:rRNA from 1 species